UGAAAAUGGACUCGACCCAGUAAUUUUAAAAGAAACACAUAGCUUAGGAACUUGGUAGUUGAUGAGAGUAUAGCAGUUGAGAGUAGGCCCAAUUAAUGAAAGUGCCCCAGGCCUGGUAGAUGUGUUUGGAAUCAUCAUCGUCUUCAUCGAUGCAAUUGUAAAUGUUGAAAGUCAAGAGUUUACGAACCACAACUGCAUCAUCACCGAACAUGCACGCGGAUUUGAAGACCUAAAGCUCUGAAUGCGGUUCCUGAUUUGUUUGUCAAUAACCCCGAUCAAGGAGUCCGUUGUUCUGAAGAUGUGUUGAUGGUGCCUCUUAUUACGCUCAUUCCAAAGCCAAUAUACGGUUGCUUGGAUUGCCAUUAGAGUGAUGGGAAUUGACAGCGAAGAGUGAUCGCCCUCCACACAGUUUCACUAUAGCAGCACUGGAAGAAGAGAUGGUCACGACUUUCUGGUUGAGAGUUACAAAGGAGACAGAUAGGGUUUACUCCAAGAAGACCCCAACGAAGUAACCUGACAACGAUCAAGAACCACAAGCCACGUAAGGAAACUGUGUCGGGGAAUUCCCAUAGGGCACCAGUCAACUGCCGACCAGGGGACCGAAGGUUUCGGACCUUGAAUGGGGAAGGAGCCAUCGACCGCCUUGAUGGAGUGAUCCAAGUGUUGCAGCUUUUGGGAUGCCAAGUCUCGAAGUUGAAGCUUUCAAAAGUUCGUUGAGGUUACCAAACAGUGACCAAUUAUCAAACCAGAAGCUUGAGGAGAGACCAUUACCAAUACGUCGCUUGAUCAGUGGGUAGAUGAGUUUUCUAGAUUUGAUGAGCUUGUUCGCGAGCCAGGAGUGAGAGGUACUUGUUUUGACAGACCAGUAGUUGCUAAGGGAUCCUUUAAGAAUAACCUCCUUGAACCAACAGACCCAGACAUAGUCUGGUCGGAAGAAGAGCAACCAGAUUAGCUUCAGGAUGCAAGCUCUGUUCCAAGAGUGGAGGUCUUUGAUCCCUAAGCCGCCUUGCUCUUUUGCCUUAGGGAGGAUAAAGGAGGAGCACCAGAAGGUUGUGAUUCCUGCUAUGACGGUUUUGUUGAGAAGCAACCUUCCCGAGAAAGAGAGAGAUUUUGCAGACCAGGAGGAGAAUCUAGCUUUGAUUUGUUGCAGUAGAGGCUCACAGUUGAGGAGGGUCAGCUUCUUUUUGACCAUCGGAACCCCCAGAUACUUCAUCGGCAAGGAUUUGAAGGACUCUCUGCACUGGUUCUAUGGAACCGUCAAUGAAGAUAAGAAGAUCAUCCGCAAAGGAGAGAUGUGUGAGCUUGGUCUUGCCACAGUUGUGGUGAUAAGAGAGGGUUCCCAUUCUUGCUUCCUGGUUUAGCAUCAUAGACAAGCAGUUCAUGGCGAUGACAAAGAGACACAAGCUCUAAGGAGAUUGACGAGAGGAGGAGAGAUUGAAACUGAUUAGAGCAGCGAAGAGAAAGUCCCACGAGAGGGUAUCAAAUGCCUUUGCGAUAUCCACCUUGAUGGUAAUCCUUCUUGGUCCCUUGUUCUUAUGAUAUCCGUUGACCAACUCACUUGCAAGAACUGUAUUUUCAAGUAAGAGUCUGCCCUCCACAAAGGCUGUUUGGUUUGGUAGUAUUAGAUUUGAGAGAAUAGGCUUUAACCUGCGAACCAAUAGCCUAGAGAUAACCUUGUAGAUAGUAUUCAGACAUGAGAUAGGCCUGUAAUCUGUUAUCCUUGAUGCACCAGGAUAAAAGAAACUUUGAAAACAAAACUUUGCCACCUCAGUUCAAAACUUUUAUUUGGAGCUUUAUAGAAAACAUGCGUUACGGGUGAUACGUGCAUAUUUAUCUAUAUAACAAAUUCUUGUUGAAAAAUAAAUAUACAACAAAAAAUUGUUUUGUCAAAUAGUAUUGUUAUUUUGUUAUUUAUAGGAAAGAGUAUAAACUGGACUAACGGUGGUUCAGAGCAUUUCCAAAAGAUACUUUAUAACUUCAAAUAUGAAGUUUUUUGCUCUUCAAAAACAAACUUUAAAAAAUUCUAUAUUUGAAAUUUCACUAAUCAAAACUUGAAAUUUGAAGUUUCAUAUUUUUAUUUGCAUUAUGGUCUCUAUAAUCACACAUCACCUUUAUGAUUCAUAA